AGCCCCCGCCGCCUCCCCCGACCCCCGAGAGAGCCUCCUGUCUUCGGCCGGGAGCCCUCGGGCCAGGCCUGCGUGCACCCCGACUCCUUGGCGCUCGGCCGAGUUCACACCGUUUCCGAAAUGAUCUUAAAAUUGUUAUCUCCUGUUCUCCAAUGGGGAAACUGAGGCAGAGGAAGAAGCUCUGUGUGGCUUCAGGCCUCAGAACCUACUCAUGGUGAGGAGCUCAAAGCAUAAAGAGAGGAAGUCACUUGUUUCAGCUCUCAGGGUCCAGGAGCCUGUCUGACUCCAGAGGGGACUCAUGCCUGGGCUUCCUGUCUCCAGGGAAUCUGGACAGAGCGGUGGAAA